rnacentral:rRNA from 1 species
AGGCUUAACACAUGCAAGUCGUGCGAGAAAGUAUCUUAGGAUAUGAGUAGAGCGGCGGACGGGUGAGUAACGCGUAGGAAUCUACCUAGUAGAAGGGGAUAGCCCGGGGAAACCCGGAUUAAUACCGUAUACCUCCUUCGGGAGAAAGAAGGCCUCUCUUUGAAGCUUUCGCUAUUAGAUGAGCCUGCGUAAGAUUAGCUUGUUGGUGAGGUAAAGGCUCACCAAGGCUACGAUCUUUAGCUGGUCUGAGAGGACGAUCAGCCACAUUGGGACUGAGACACGGCCCAGACUCCUACGGGAGGCAGCAGUGGGGAAUAUUGGACAAUGGGCGCAAGCCUGAUCCAGCCAUACCGCGUGUGUGAAGAAGGCCUUCGGGUUGUAAAGCACUUUAAGCAGGGAGAAAAAGUUAUAAGUUAAUACCUUAUAACCGUGAUGUUACCUGCAGAAUAAGCACCGGCUAAUUCCGUGCCAGCAGCCGCGGUAAUACGGAAGGUGCAAGCGUUAAUCGGAAUUACUGGGCGUAAAGCGCGCGUAGGUGGUUUGUUAAGUUGGAUGUGAAAGCCCUGGGCUCAACCUAGGAACUGCAUCCAAAACUAACUCACUAGAGUACGAUAGAGGGAGGUAGAAUUCAUAGUGUAGCGGUGGAAUGCGUAGAUAUUAUGAAGAAUACCAGUGGCGAAGGCGGCCUCCUGGAUCUGUACUGACACUGAGGUGCGAAAGCGUGGGUAGCGAACAGGAUUAGAUACCCUGGUAGUCCACGCCGUAAACGAUGACAACUAGCUGUUGGGAGACAAUGUCUCUCAGUGGCGCAGCUAACGUUUUAAG